AGCGAACGCUGGCGGCAGGCCUAACACAUGCAAGUCGAGCGCCGUAGCAAUACGGAGCGGCAGACGGGAGAGUAACACGUGGGAACGUACCCUUUGGUUCGGAACAACCCAGGGAAACUUGGGCUAAUACCGGAUAAGCCCUCACGGGGAAAGAUUUAUCGCCGAUGGAUCGGCCCGCGUCUGAUUAGCUAGUUGGUGGGGUAAUGGCCCACCAAGGCGACGAUCAGUAGCUGGUCUGAGAGGAUGAUCAGCCUCACUGGGACUGAGACACGGCCCAGACUCCUACGGGGGGCAGCAGUGGGGAAUAUUGGACAAUGGGCGCAAGCCUGAUCCAGCCAUGCCGCGUGGGUGAUGAAGGCCCUAGGGUUGUAAAGCCCUUUCGGCGGGGAAGAUAAUGACGGUACCCGCAGAAGAAGCCCCGGCUAACUUCGUGCCAGCCGCCGCGGUAAAAC
rnacentral:rRNA from 1 species